CAGAUUCUCCAUCGCGAUAGCUACAGGCUGUGCACUAACCUCUGGAUUUCGCUUUAUGUUGCCAGGUAAGAACAUAAAAUACUUUCUCUAAAGGUUGUUUUUUGAUACAGAUGUUAACUUUUCUCUACCAGUGUAUGGUCUGUUUCCAUUCAAUGAUUAGUCACUAUAACACAGGAAGCUAACGUUAGCUGCUAUUGUGAAACUAGCCACCCUAACCCGAUAAAAGUGGCUUAUCUUUAAUUUCAGCACGCUUAAUUUGUAUUUGAUAGCAAAAUUGAUUGUCAUCAUAAAUGUUGGAGUUACCUUAUUCCCAACAAACUGUUGAUUAAGGUUAGUGAUCCGAGUUUAAUGUCAGGCCAACUGCUGUGAUUGCUCAGUAGUUUGCUCCUUGUGUAAAUCUUGACAGUAAAGCACGUUGUCUUUACAAACUAAAACAAUUCAGGCUCAAAAAUGUCUGCUUACACUUGAAAAUGUGGUUGAAUUACUCUUCAGUUACUGGUAAGUUGUUUUUAUAUUUCUUCCAGUAAUCAACAAAUUUUGUCUUCCAGCUCAACUUCUGAUUGAAGGUGAGCUCAGACUGAAUGAUGAAUCUGGUACUGAGAUUGACGCAGACGUGUUUGAUGAGCUCAUAAAGUCGGGGACUCGAAACUUUGAGGUUGGAUACCGCCAGUGUGACGCUACAGGUAAAGGCUAUCAAACAAAUACUUACAAGGACUGACUCAGCUUUGGUUUGAUAUAUGUGCAAUUAUAUUUCUGUUUAUAUAGAAGAAACACUUUCUCAUUCCAGUUUAUUUUCAGGAAAACUGCUCUGAACAAAGUAUUUUAAUGGUAAGAUGAAGCCUCUUGAAGCAUUGAAGCUUUCCAUCCAAUUACUUGCCUCCUGGACCGAAGCUUCAUGAUUGCGCUUCAUUUGCUCUUUUGCGCCAUCAAGUGGACAGUAAAUGUAAAACAGGCAGAGUGAUAAACCAAAGACACCCCGAGACUUUGGUGCACGAAGCUUUGAAUUGAAUGAAUAAAUGGCUGUGAGGCCAUGUGUUUGUAAUACAAUACAAAAAUGAUAAAGUUAGUCAGUGUCAAAUAGGGAAAAGAGGACAUAAAUUAUGGAGAGGGUUGUGAUGUGAAUGUGCUUGUGAUACUUAGUUUGUUGUUUGUACUUUUGUAAUGGGGAAAACAUAUAAAACAUAAACAUUUCAUUAGUUUUUAUUUAAAAACAACUUUUCAACAAGUCUCGAGUCUAUGGCUUGUGAGUGGGGGAGGACUCCAUUGCGUUACGCUGCCUGUCAAAUCAUCCGCCAAACCUGCUAACUGUUUCUUGAAUCAGUCACGUGGUACAGCCGGGUAGCGAGGCUUCAGACUUCAUCAUUUUAGACCCCUCCCCUACAUGAAGCAAGCCUCGAUACGCGCUUCGCGGAAAUACCUCGGCACUGAAGGACACAUCACUACUCAUAAGCAACCUGUAAAUGGACAUUGUGGCUGGGAUACUGAUAUGUCUGCUCUCCUGCAGCUGUUACAUCUCCUACCCCCUACAUCAAGAGGUUACAAAAAAGGCAAGAUAAGCUCAGCACAGGCAUCUUGUGAGAUUUGUCAAGGUAUGUACCAUUGGCUUUUCAUACCACCAAAUCAUUUGUUCUAGAGUUGUGAGAAGUUUUUCUUACAGGUUGAUGUGGGCUUGCAACGAUUGAUUUUAAACUUAAGUGUGUUACAUUCAUUAUGUUUUUCUGAAUCUGUUUUGUUCAAACAGCAAGGAGCCAGCCUCACAACAUUCCUGGACAAAGCAAGACAACCCUUUCUUCUUGGCAUCAGAGG
rnacentral:lncRNA from 1 species